UACGAGGGGUGCAAGCGUUGCUCGGAAUUAUUGGGCGUAAAGGGUAGGUAGGUGGUCUCAUUUGUCAGGGGUGAAAGCCUUGGGCUUAACUCAAGAAGUGCCCCUGAAACGGUGAGACUGGAGUCCUGGAGAGGGUCGUGGAAUUCCCGGUGUAGCGGUGAAAUGCGUAGAGAUCGGGAGGAACACCAGAGGCGAAGGCGGCGACCUGGACAGGUACUGACACUCAACUACGAAAGCGUGGGGAGCAAACAGG
rnacentral:rRNA from 1 species